rnacentral:tmRNA from 1 species
GGGGGCGACACGGUUUCGACGGAAGCUGUCGCGUCCCGGAGGCAUGCCGGGGGCCAACCACCCGUAAUCGGCUGGAAACUAGAACUGCCAACAACAACUUGGCACUUGCUGCUUAAUUAAUUAAGCGCACGCUUCCCCGGGCUUUGCUCAUGGGCCCGGUCAGAGGCGUCAUACAGUGAGCUGGCCCAAACCUUUCGGUCCGGAGGGUGCGGGCGAGACCAAUCGGACUAGCCGGAUGCGUUUCUUGCUCGUUCUGAGCGCGACUGGCGAACCAAACUGAACUGAGAUAAGCAUGUAGGCUCCGUGGCGCAGCGCUUUUCGGACGGGGGUUCGACUCCCCCCGCCUCCACCA